rnacentral:rRNA from 1 species
GGCCGCUGCGACUGUUUAUCAAAAACACAGCACUCUGCAAACACGAAAGUGGACGUAUAGGGUGUGACGCCUGCCCGGUGCUGGAAGGUUAAUUGAUGGGGUCAGCCGCAAGGCGAAGCUCUUGAUCGAAGCCCCAGUAAACGGCGGCCGUAACUAUAACGGUCCUAAGGUAGCGAAAUUCCUUGUCGGGUAAGUUCCGACCUGCACGAAUGGCGUAACGACAGCGGCGCUGUCUCCACCCGAGACUCAGUGAAAUUGAAAUCGCUGUGAAGAUGCAGCGUUCCCGUGGCAAGACGGAAAGACCCCGUGAACCUUUACUAUAGCUUUACACUGAACGUUGAGUUCGUCUGUGUAGGAUAGGUGGGAGGCUAUGAAACCAUGGCGCUAGCUGUGGUGGAGCCAACCUUGAAAUACCACCCUGUCGUGCUUGACGUUCUAACCUAGGUCCGUAAUCCGGAUCGGGGACCGUGUAUGGUGGGUAGUUUGACUGGGGCGGUCUCCUCCUAAAGAGUAACGGAGGAGCACGAAGGUACGCUCAGCGCGGUCGGACAUCGCGCACUGUGUGCAAAGGCAUAAGCGUGCUUGACUGCAAGAUCGACGGAUCAAGCAGGUACGAAAGUAGGUCUUAGUGAUCCGGUGGUUCUGUAUGGAAGGGCCAUCGCUCAACGGAUAAAAGGUACUCCGGGGAUAACAGGCUGAUACCGCCCAAGAGUUCAUAUCGACGGCGGUGUUUGGCACCUCGAUGUCGGCUCAUCACAUCCUGGGGCUGUAG